rnacentral:rRNA from 1 species
UGGGCAAGUUUGGUCUUGGCUUGAAGUUGGGUUAGGUCUCAUUUCACACAUGAUACUUUAUGGGGUUUGGGAGGUAGCGGGCUGAAGAAAGCGUUUAAAAAGCGUUUUUGGUGUGCUUCUUGGUGGUGACUAUUAGGUUAGGCCUAGGAUGGUUAGUCUAGUUUCCCCAACGUCAGUGGAAAGUGUUGGCCCAUGCUAGGAAUAGUGAGCCAGUUGGGACGUUAAAAGAAAGGGAAGAGCAGUGCCAGCACCUGCGGUUAAACUGCGUUCUUUUCCAAUUUUUUCGCACAUAAGUAAAAGUUAAAUGGUGAGUUGUGGGCAGAGAGUUAAGUGUUUAAAACAGCUAGCUGUUCUAAAAAAGUUGCUCGUAAGCUUAAGUCUUAGAAGUCUGCUAACAGACCGGGAUUAGAGACCCUGUUAUAAAUGAUGUAAAUAUUUGUGUGGUAAGUACGAGCAAAGGCUUAAAAAUCAAAAGACUUGGCAGUGUGCAAUAUUUGUUUAGGGGAACUUGACGGUUAAAUCGAUAAUCCUCGAAGAUCUUACCUGUUCUAGUCUUGCCAUACCGCCGUUUGCAGUAGGAAUUAAAAGAUAGGAGAUUUUUACAUAGAAGCUAUGGUUUAGCUUGAAAUUCAGGUACACGUGGCGGUUAUGAACAGGGCUUAGUUGAGUUACAGUGUGUUUCGCGGGAAGGGGGAUGAAAUCACCCCUGGAACAGGGACUUAAUAGUAAUUUUUUUGUAGGGAAGAAAAGUGAAUCUGACACUUGUGCAUGUACAAAUUGCCCGGUGCCCCCAGAUACCUAAGCUGGGGUAAGCCGUAACAUGGUAAUGCUACUAGAAAGUGGCGUUAAUUAA